GGGCUUGUUUGGUUGCAGCCCUUCCCGAAGGGUUCCCCUCGUUUUCCCCGGCCCACCAUUCCCUGGGCCGAACUGCCCCGGGUAAGCCCACACGAACGUUUGGAUAGCCACGAGUCAUCUUUUCCGCGUCCUUUCCGCGUCCAUCCCCGGGAGCCCGUUCCACCACUCGAGACACGAGGAAGAGAAUCCGCGACGGGAGGCGGCGACGCUGCUGGGAGCGAUGCUCUCGAUCUCGUCUUCCUCCGGCGACCGGAGGACAUAUCGGACCGGAGCCUCCGCCAGCCUCCGCCCCCCACCCCCCGCCUCCCCUCUCUCCCUCUCUCCACUACUCGCCGCCUUCAGGACCUACCGGAUCCGCACCGCGCCGCCGCCAAUCCAGGCCGGCCGCUACUGCCCCGACCUCGAGGCGAGAGCCCAACCUGCGUGUCCUUACCUGUCCCCCUCCGUUCUUCUCCAUCUCCCAAUAUCUGCGCAGCCGCAAUUCUACUGUCCCCUCAGGCGAUGACGACGGCCGGCGGUCGGGAUUGACGAAGGGAUGUGAGCACCAAUUCCUUGCUAGAGUUCUUUGUGCUGCUCUGGAUCCGUAUGCAAAUCCUGUUCCAUGAUUCUUAGUUGCCUGAAGCAUUAACUGAAACAUUGGAGUGCAAGGCUUAUUUUGGACGCAAGUCGUAGAAUGAGUAGAGCAACGGUAUCUCUGGGAGUUGAUGUUCCAGAAAAAAAUCUCUGAAUUAGGAUUGUGUAUAGUCAGAUCUGCCAUCCAUCUUGCUGCGUUCGAAUUAAUCUCAUCAUCUAUGGUUAGAUUAUUUGAUAUACUAGAUUUUAGGUACAAUCUAAAGUUACAUAGCAGAUAAUAUUCUGAUGGAUGGUUUUGCUGUAUAUUAAUGACCACUGACUUUAGACCUAUAUGCAGAAGGCCACUGAAUUUUAAUCGUUGCAGAACAAUGACUCGUUGUAUAGCAACAUCACACCAAUGAAGUACUCAGCUUUCGGCAAAGUCGAGCAUCCAACCUCCAUAUGAUUAAUUCACAGGAAGUUCAGAGAUAUAUAUUGUCAGGGAGUGCUAGCAACAAGUGUUCUUUCUGUGAGUAGUAUUUGCUAUACCUUUGCACUUCAUUCUGCUAUGGUAACCAACUGGGAUGAGUUAACGGACUGAAUUCUUGCCGCUUCCGACAUUUUUCUACUCUUCUCUGUAUAUGCUUCUUCUGACAUUUUUGUCGCGGCAGGAUAUGUCAGCUUCAUGUCUGGUGUAUCUCGUCGUCAUGCUGACAUUAGUUUAAUUUAUACACAGAAGUUCCAAAACAUAUAAUUACUUUCCUAACAUGUGCUUUAGUGCAAAAAUUUGUAACUUUUGAGCUGCAUGCUUUAGUGCAAAAAUUUGUAUGAUUUACUUGUGCCUACACUACUACUUGUUCUAGUACAUGUAAGUAGGACCCAUAACAUGUUCAAAUGUUCAUGUUCAUUUUCAGUUCUCGUUGGAAAACUUGUAGUAUAAGAAUAGCUUGCUUUCUUGCUGAAUUUGACAAACUGAGAACUGACCUCCUUAUUUUAUUUUAUUUUAUUUGUUUGUGAAGUUAGCAGGCCAAACCUUCUUCGCCGACCUUGAAGUUAUCAUUGCUUUGACCACGGUGAGGUCAUCCUUGCAUCUAGCGCCUCUGCAUCCUUCCUCUUGGGAAAAGUCUUUGUCGCUGCCCCACCUUCUUCGUCGAAGGGAUGGUGGUCUAGCUGUGGGCCGACAAGUGACAACAACUAGCCCUACCUGUCCUGUGAGCCACCUCCGGCGAUUCUGCUCCAGCUAGGCGGCAUGGAGAUGGUGCGUAGGAUGGGUGGUCUCCUUGUGUGAUUCUGCUCCGGUUCGGUGGUUGGGAGCUCGCAGUCAGAGCCGGCGGCAGGCUCUGAGAGGUUGUUGGUGAACCGUGGCUCCUCCACGCUGGAACGGGAGCAUGGGCCCGGGGGCGAUAGCGAUGAGUCUGUUUGCUAGGGGCAAGCUCCCGUCGUGGACGAAAAUGAGAAUGUGGGGACGAGGCCAAAGCUGGAACGGGAGCGACACAGCGAGCAGAGCGGCCAUAGGAGGGAGCUCCGCAUGCGUGGAGUAGAGCGAGCCCCCGGCAGCUCUCCGACAGCGAGCAAGGUUAGGCGGGACGACACCGCCAUGGGAGCCCCCUGACAGCGAGUGGAGCGGCAGCGAACAGCGGGAAGGACAGUCCGAAGAGAGAAGAUUUUAUGUCCUGAAAUUGGCAUGAAAUUUUAUACUUAGAAAGAAGGGAACUAUUUUGUAUAUAUUAACCUGCUGCUCGGUGAAAGAAAAGAACUACUUGUAGCGAAUAAUGAAUGAUCCGUAUUCAAUUUCCCUUCCAUUCCA